rnacentral:tRNA from 1 species
GCAGAGUGGCGCAGCGGAAGCGUGCUGGGCCCAUAACCCAGAGGUCGAUGGGAUGAAACCCAUCCUCCUGCC